rfam:Fukomys damarensis contig87008, whole genome shotgun sequence.
AUCGCUUCUCGGCCUUUUGGCUAAGAUCAAGUGUAGAAAAAUAGAGGGCAGAAAAAAAUCCGUGUAUUGUUCAGUAGUCCAACUGCCACAGAACUUGUUAUUGAGUCUCUUUAGAAUCAACAUCAAAGCCAAUGCGUAGAUUUUUCUUAAUGUCCUUGGCUUUGUACAUUAGCCAUGCAUUAUACUCGCU